AUAUCAGUAAGCGGAGGAAAAGAAACUAACAAGGAUUCCCUCAGUAACGGCGAGUGAAGCGGGAAGAGCUCAAAUUUAAAAUCUGGUGCCCGUAUGGGUACCCGAAUUGUAUUUGAAAGGGUCGUCUUUUGCAACCGGAUGUGGUCAAAGUUCCCUGGAAAGGGACAACAUAGAGGGUGAUAUUCCCGUCUGGGCCAUGUUUGGAAGCAGUAUAAAGACGGCCCAAAGAGUCGGAUUGUUUGGGAAUGCAGUCCAAAAUGGGUGGUACAUUUCAUCUAAGGCUAAAUAUUGGCAAGAGACCGAUAGCGCACAAGUA
rnacentral:rRNA from 1 species